CAAUUUUGGUUUUUGUUGCCAUUGUUUUGGAACGAUACAGAGAAGAUUAGCAUGGCCCCUGAGCAAGGAUGACAUGCAAAUUCGUGAAGAGUUCCAUAUUUUU
ensembl:snRNA U6 U6 spliceosomal RNA